CUCGUACAGGGGGAGUAACAGCUGGAAACGGACUGCUAAUACCGCAUAAGCGCACGAGGAGACAUCUCCUAGUGUGAAAAACUCCGGUGGUACAGGAUGGGCCCGCGUCUGAUUAGCUGGUUGGCAGGGUAACGGCCUACCAAGGCAACGAUCAGUAGCCGGUCUGAGAGGAUGAACGGCCACAUUGGAACUGAGACACGGUCCAAACUCCUACGGGAGGCAGCAUG
rnacentral:rRNA from 1 species